rnacentral:rRNA from 1 species
AUACGGAGGGUGCAAGCGUUAUCCGGAUUCAUUGGGUUUAAAGGGUGCGCAGGCGGAUUAUUAAGUCAGUGGUGAAAUCCCGGGGCUCAACCUCGGAACUGCCAUUGAUACUGGUAAUCUAGAAUACGGUUGAAGUGGGCGGAAUGUAGCAUGUAGCGGUGAAAUGCAUAGAGAUGCUACAGAACACCGAUCGCGAAGGCAGCUCACUAAGCCGAUAUUGACGCUCAGGCACGAAAGCGUGGGGAGCGAACAGGAUUAGAUACCCCUGUAGUCC